ACAUGCCUACAACAUAGCGUUAAUGCACUGGAUCCCAUUAUAACUUUGUAGUUAAGCACGCUCGGGCUAGAGUAGUACUGGGAUGGGUGACUGCCCGAGAAGUCCUAGUAUUUUACAUGCC
rnacentral:rRNA from 1 species